CGCAGGUCUGCACCUGUAAGAUUUGCCCAAUGCUUAAAUUGUUAAUGGCCGCGCAAGUGCUAAGGUAGCAAAAUCAAUAGCCUAUUAAUUGUAGCCUAGAAUGAAUAAUUAAACUUUGUAGAGAGUAGCGUUUGCUACAAAAACUUAAUUUUUCUGUGAAAAAGCAGAAGUAAACUUUUUAGACGAGAAGACCCUAAAACUUUAAAAUAUUUAAUUGGGAUAAUUCUUUUAUGAAAUAAAAACAGUAAGCCCCUAUAGGAAAGACCCUAAAAAGCUAAAUAAAAGUACUUUAGGGAUAACAGCAC
rnacentral:rRNA from 1 species